UUGGUGUGAAUUGCAGAAUCCCGUGAACCAUCGAGUCUUUGAACGCAAGUUGCGCCCGAAGCCCUCGCGGCCAGGGCACGCCUGUCUGGGCGUCA
rnacentral:rRNA from 1 species